AUGUCUUCGAAGGGCAAGAAGAAGCAGAAGCCGUCGGUGUCCCCGCAGCCGUCACCUCGUACCCCCCUCUCUCGCGCCCGUGAAGGCACCGGCGGCUGCAUCCUGGACCUCCCGUCCACCGCUGCAGCGGCAGCGGCGCGGUACCCGGCGCUCGUACCCCGCGGAGGCGCCGGUUGUUUCACCGGCACCGUCUUCGAUGUGGUCUCCAGGGGCGGGAUUCGUGGUGGCGAGGGGAGGCUCUGGCUCUCCGGGGACGCCAUGGCCAGCUCCGGGCUGCGGCAUGGGUGUCUCGUCUCUGUGUCACUCAUUUCUUCAAGUAGUAACAGUUUAGAUGAAUUCCCACUUGAUAGCUUAUUGGAGGAGUGCACCAGAUUCUUUGAUCUUGAUGUGGACAAUGAUCUCAUCUCUAAUGAAGCUGGGGUGAACUUUGUGACUGCCAAAGUUUUCCCUUCAUGUGAGGUUCAAAAGAAUGGCAUCAAGCUCUCUUGGGACCUUGCCUGCACGCUGGGAUACCCUGUAGUAGGUCGUCCUUUGUUAAUUAGCCCCCUAUAUACAUCUCAAGCCCCAAAACAAACUGAUGGUGGUGAGUUUUUGAGGGUGAUAAAAUGCAGUGAUCUCUACCUUAGUCUAGUUCCACCAAAAGUUGCACCAUGCAGCCAUAAUAAGUCAGAGUCUGAUUGCCAUCCUGUAAGAAAUGUGAUGGUUAUGGAGUCACCUAAAAGGAUUCCUUCAACUUCUCCAUGCAGAAAUGAAUCCCAUCACGGUGCAUCUUACAGUGGUUCUUCAUUGUGCUUGGAUCAAGCCACUGCAAAAUCAGUAUUGGCAGAUGAUAAAAUAAAUGACUUGCUGCAGACUUCUGCAUCACGGUGGCUCGGUGGUAGGCACUUACUGAAAGGAAACUACGUUCCUCUCCCAAUGUGCGGGAAACUAUCUAUGUUUGUAGUUUUGCGUGCAGAAACAGAUGGUUCUGCCCUGGAUGUAGUGCAUGAGAAAAACAAUUCAAUGUCUAAUGCAGAGGUCUCUGGUAAAUUGGUUGAAACCCCUGCUUUGUUCCUUGUCAACAGAACCACAAAAGUGCACCUUUCUGAUUUGUCAUCUUCAAAGGAGUUUGGGUCAGAUAAGCUAGGGCUCCCACCAGAAUAUUCCGUGUGUGCUGAUACAGGAAAUGAAGAUACCAAUCCUAACCAAAGGCUUGGUGGGUUAUCUGAAGUAUCAGCAAAAGUAAAAGAAAUGAUUUCAUUUUCGCUGGCAGAUCAAAUUAGUCUGCCGAGGAAUGGUUUGCAUGAUUUACCAAGGUAUAAAGGUAUUCUUCUUUAUGGUCCACCUGGAACAGGGAAAACCUCUCUUGCUUCUUCAUGUGCCUAUGAUCUGGGAGCCAAUCUUUUUACAAUCAAUGGACCAGAGAUCAUUAGUCAGUAUCACGGUGAAAGUGAACAAGCAUUGUAUGAUGCUUUCACUUCAGCUAAGCAAGCUGCACCUGCUGUGAUAUUUAUUGAUGAAUUGGACGCGAUUGCUCCAGCCAGGAAGGAUGGAGGCGAGGAGUUAUCUCUUAGAAUGGUUGCCACUCUGUUAAAACUGAUGGAUGAGAUUGGCCGUAAUGAUCGUGUUAUCCUGAUUGCUGCUACAAAUCGGCCUGAAAGUAUUGAUCGUGCAUUACUGCGCCCAGGAAGAUUCGAUCAAGAAAUUGAAAUAGGAGUACCAUCUCCAGGACAGAGGCUGGACAUACUUCACCUCCUUCUAAGUGGAGUUCACCACUCUCUCACUAGUGAGGAAGUUGAGUGCCUUGCUUUUGCCACUCAUGGAUUCGUGGGUGCUGAUCUAGCUGCACUCUGCAACGAGGCUGCAUUGAGUGCUCUUCGCCGUUAUAUCAGUGUAAAAGAAAGUUCAACUCAACCACUUGGUGAUCGUGCCACACAUGCAGAAAAGACUAAUAUUCAAGAAAUUGAUGGCCUUUUGGGUUAUGAAAUAAGCUCAUUAUCAUCAUCUCUCUCAAAGUUAACCAUGUCAACGGAGGAUUAUAGCUGGACCAAUAGAGGUGAUAUCAUAGAAAGUAGCGAGCUGAAUGAUAAGAAAGAUGAGUUGCUAUUGUUGGUGAUUAAAGAUGACUUUGAACAAGCUAAAAUGAAAGUUAGACCAAGUGCAAUGCGUGAGGUAAUGCUAGAGCUUCCGAAGGUACAAUGGGAGGAUGUUGGUGGUCAAGCCAGGAUUAAGAAGCAGUUAAUUGAAGCCAUCCAGUUGCCACAGAAAUGCCCAGACGCAUUUGAACGCUUAGGGAUCCGCCCUCCUAGAGGAUUGUUAAUGAUUGGACCACCAGGUUGCAGUAAGACAUUGAUGGCUCGCGCCGUAGCUUCUGAAGCAAAAAUGAAUUUCCUUGCAGUUAAGGGUCCUGAGCUUUUCAGCAAAUGGGUCGGUGACUCUGAGAAGGCAGUGAGAUCAUUAUUUGCGAAGGCGAAGGAUAAUGCGCCUGCAAUAUUAUUUUUUGAUGAAAUAGAUGGGCUUGCAGUAACUCGUGGCCAUGGAAAUAAUGGCAUAUCUGUUGCUGAUAGGGUACUCAGUCAGCUGCUACAGGAAAUGGAUGGUUUGGACCAAAAGAUUGGUGUCACUGUUAUUGCAGCUACGAAUCGUCCUGACAAAAUCGACAUUGCACUUCUGAGACCAGGUCGUUUCGAUAGACUGCUUGAUGUUCAGCCACCAGAUGAAGCUGACCGUGAAGAUAUUUUCCGGAUUCAUACACGCAGCAUUCCCUGCAGUCACGAUGUUAAUCUAAACGAACUCGCUAGACUCACAGAAGGCUACACCGGUGCUGACAUAAAGCUCGUCUGCAGGGAAGCCGCUGUAGCUGCUCUUGAUGAGAACUUUGACAUCCCAGAAGUAGCAACUACACACUUCAAGUCGGCAAUCGACCGAGUAAGUCCAUCAGAUAUGAAGUUUUACCAAGAACUCGCGGCACGAUUCCGCCGACUCGUUGAUGACACAGAUAAAGCAACAAUGCCCGGAACACAUACCGAACCUGCCAUUUAG
rnacentral:rRNA from 1 species